rnacentral:rRNA from 1 species
GACGAACGCUGGCGGCGUGCUUAACACAUGCAAGUCGAACGGAAAGGCCCUGCUUUUGUGGUGUGCUCGAGCGGCUAACGGGUGAGGAACACGUGAGUAACCUGCCCUUGACUUUGGGAUAACUUAUGGAAACCGGGGCUAAUACCGGAUAGGAGCUCUUGCUGCACGGUGGGGGUUGGUUAGUUUCGGCGGAUGGGGAUGGACUUGCGGCUUAUCCGGUUGUCUGUGGGUUUGUGGCUUACCAAGGCUCCGACGGGUAGGCGGCCGGAGAAGGGGGCCGGCCACACUGGUGCGGGGCUGCGGCCCAGACUCCUACGGGAGGUGUCACUGGGGAAUAUUGCACAAUGGGCGGACGCCUGCUGCAGCAACGCCGCGUGCGGGAUGACAGCCUACGAGUUGUAGGCCGCUAUCGACUGUGACGGAGGGUGAGUGACGGUAAUGGGUGAAGAAGCACCGGCUAACUACGUG